rnacentral:rRNA from 1 species
GAUGAACGCUGGCGGCGUGCUUAACACAUGCAAGUCGAACGGAAAGGCUCCUGCUUGCAGGGGUACUCGAGUGGCGAACGGGUGAGUAACACGUGGGUGAUCUGCCCUGCACUUCGGGAUAAGCCUGGGAAACUGGGUCUAAUACCGGAUAGGACGAUGGUUUGGAUGCCAUUGUGGAAAGUUUUUCGGUGUGGGAUGAGCUCGCGGCCUAUCAGCUUGUUGGUGGGGUAAUGGCCUACCAAGGCGUCGACGGGUAGCCGGCCUGAGAGGGUGUACGGCCACAUUGGGACUGAGAUACGGCUCAGACUCCUACGGGAGGCAGCAGUGGGGAAUAUUGCACAAUGGGCGCAAGCCUGAUGCAGCGACGCCGCGUGGGGGAUGACGGCCUUCGGGUUGUAAACUCCUUUCGCUAGGGACGAAGCGUUUUGUGACGGUACCUGGAGAAGAAGCACCGGCUAACUACGUG